rnacentral:rRNA from 1 species
UACGUAGGGGGCAAGCGUUGUCCGGAAUCAUUGGGCGUAAAGAGCGUGUAGGCGGCCCGGUAAGUCCGCUGUGAAAGUCCAGGGCUCAACCCUGGGAUGCCGGUGGAUACUGUCGGGCUCGAGUCCGGAAGAGGAGAGUGGAAUUCCUGGUGUAGCGGUGAAAUGCGCAGAUAUCAGGAGGAACACCGGUGGCGAAGGCGGGUCUCUGGGCCGAUACUGACGCUGAGGAGCGAAAGCGUGGGGAGCGAACAGG